UGUCUUUAUCAUCUUUUGAACGUAACGCGACGUUUCUCUGAGGAUGUGAUUCCGGCGUCAUCCAACAGGGGGCCCACUCAUCUAUUUGGGGCUACUUGGGAGAGUGUCACCUGGGUGCUGACCAAUGCACAAGGCACAGCUGAGGUCCGUGAGGCUGUUAAAAGGUCUUCUCUGGUGUGACCGUGUUUCACGCUGUACUACAGUACUGUCCACAUAUCCAAAUGAAACGUGAACAUCCAGAGUUUUAGAGUUAUAAUCCCAUUUGGCUCUAUUAACAUCAUUAAUGCUCUUGUUCAGAUGUUCAAUACUGGGAUUAGUCAUUUAAAUAACCCAGAAGGUGUUACCUAACAGGCUGAUUUUCCUCUACACUGCUUAAAAGGUCACUUAAAUGCUACGAGAAAGUUUCUCCCAUGAAUGUCCUAAUUCUUAAUUUCUUAACCGGUUUCGUAACCUAUGGUUACACAUCGAUGAGCUGUAUACUCUCCCCCAUGGCAGCGUCUGGCCCUCUACGUAUGUGAAAGACUGUCACACAUGCAGAUUACGGCACCGGAUUUUUUAGUGCGCGUGUGUGUUUGUGAGAUAAGGCAUGUGUGUGCCAUGUCGGUCUGUGUGUGUGUGUGUCCGCUCUCCCUCACAGGAGAGCCGGGAGCCAGAGUACACUGUUAUACCCAAAGCCUGAGAGAGGCCCAGCAAGUCAGUUUCUUCAAGAGUUAUGCUCUAAUGUGGCAGAGGGGGCCUCUCGCUUUUGACUUAGCGAGGAAUUAUAGAGCACAGACCUGUAAAACAUCUUGUACCCUCAUCUCUCCCAUUAUGUGAAAUACAAUAAUCUACAGAAUUACUACGGCAUUCUCAGGGAAUGUGAAUUCAUACAUUUCUGCUUGUAUCAUCUAUCUGGUGAAGGAAACCAUUUCUGUAGAUUUAGCAUCUACAAAACGAGAAAAAAGUGGAAUGCUUUAGAAUACGAAUAAUAACUAGGGGACUUGGUGUUGGGCGAACCUCUGAUGCCGUGCAGAAAGCAUGAGAUCCGGACCAUCAGAAUACACAGGUCAUGAUAUCUGCGGUCUGGGUCAUGCAGCCUAUUCUAGGGUUUUACAGACAGAGAGAGAGGGAGAGUUUGGAGUUUGGAACAAUUUAUUUCUACUAUUCUCUGCAUUUAAGAAUAAUUAUAAAGACAUCAAAACUGUAGAGUAACAUACAUGAAAUUAUGCACUGAUCAAAAAAGUGUUAAACAAAAUAAUUCACUUGGACCCUUGAGCAAGGCUUCACCCCAGUUCUUCCAGGGACUGGCUGACCCUACUGUCCCCUCUACACCGGUUUCAUGCGGUGGCCUCCUGGGAUGCUGUGACAGCUGUCCUGAAGUACAUCCCACAUAUACCGAGCUCACUGAGGAUGAAGCUGACAGUGAAGAUGACUGGUCCUCUGGGCUCCACCAGUCGAUGUCCUCUUACUGAGUCACCCCCUCCUAUGGAUCACAGUUCUGGGAGAAAAAGCCCCCCCUCGCUGCAUUAUAACAGAGUGUGCCAAGUACCUUUCUGCGGGAAAUUCAUGAGGAGCUUGAGGUGUGCACAGUUUUUGGGAUGCGGAGGAAUGGCAGAGAACAUGAACGAGGAGACGCCAAAUGCAGAUCAUUCCCCCAGAUGAUGGUGAUUCAUUCUGCAAUCAGAGGAAAGAAGAGAGAGAGGCAUGAUCAGAGCUAAGUGAAUCACCACACUCACACGCGCUGGUCACACACCUUGUCGUGUUACGCAGAACGCAACAAGGCCGGGGAAAUCUGACUGUAAUGGGAGAAGCAGCAGGCGGAUCUAAUCAAGGAACUGUGCAACUGUGGGAAUUUGAGAAGGGAGAUCUCAGCCGUGGGGCUGCACAAGGAAGUGAAACAGUGAGGUGCAGCCAGGUGAAGCUUUUGGGUUAGUUUGCAGCACCCUCACACACUCACCAUGAAGGUCACUGUGAAGAUCAGCGUGAAGAUCUGUGUGAAUAUCACCAUAAAUAUCAGUGCAAAGAUUAGUGUGAAGGCCACCGCAAAGAUCAUCGUGAAGAUCAGCGCGAAGGUCUCCAUGAAGAUCAAUGUGAAGGUCAUUGUGAAGGUCAUUGUAAAGAUUGCCAUGAAGAUCAACGUGAAGAUCACAGUGAAGGUCACUACAAAGAUCAGUGUGAAUAUCUCCAUGCAGAUCAGUGUCAAGAUCACCUGUAAACGUCCUGUUCCUCACAUGAGACACCUCGCACUUUCUCCUCCUGUCUCUCUAACUAGCCCAUCCGCCCCAAUUGUGGUUCCCCCUUUGCCCUCCACCUGUCAUUUUCUCCAUACUCCACAGGCUGUUCCAUCCUUCUUCCCCUCUCCUCCUCCUUCUCCUCUUACCUCGUUUAGAUCUCCGUCUUGAUUUCCCUCUUGUGUGAUGAGACGGCUUGUCAUUUAAGUGAAUGCCCCACCCCCCCCAUGGCUGCAGGGGUGCUGCAUCAGAUGCAGGGUGCUUCAGUGCGUGUGAUGUGAGUGUGAGGAGGAACAUGCCUGUUUUGGUGCCCCCUAAUUACGAGAUUUCACUAUUAACGGGGCGAGGAGCUUCACAUUCCCGUUUCUGUCCCCAAUGUGAGGAGUAGCAGUGUUUACCACCAAUAAAACCACACAUUUGCAUGGGGCCCCUGAGUUUGGGGGCCCCUGUUGGCCACAAACAGGAAGGGUGGAGGAUGUUCAAAGUAGUGGUUUUUUGAGUUGGGCCCUAAAAACAACAAGCCCACCCCUGAUUCUGAGGCAGGUCAGCAACCUCACAUGGGAUACCCUGUGACCCAUUUGACCGUGAACCCUUCCCCGGACCCUCGAGCUCCUGUAGCACAUUAAAGCGAAUGAUCAGUGAUGCAAAUCCCGCAAGGAUGUCUGGGCAGAGUGAGAACGCCAGACUAAGCAGCCGUAAAGCUGCAGAAUUCAAAAUUUAUGGCUCCGUCUCCUGGAGGACCUUCAGCUUUUAUGUCCGAUCCUGCUGCCAGAUUUUGUAUUCGUUUCCUUUUUUUUUAAAAAAAAAAAAAGAAAGACAAUCAGUGUUAUAAAAACCAUGAUAGCAAUAAUAAAAACACUGAUUUAAAAUGGUUUUCUCCAGAGAACGCUGAUGCUUCAGUAUCAGCUGGGUCAUUAAAAGAAACUCCCCUCUGAAAGUGCCACCGCAACCGUUUAAGAAGAGAUUCACACUUAACUUGGAAAAGUACAGAACAUAUACAGAGAUUCUAAAUCUACCCUGAUUCACCUCCCAUGCCUCAAUUAGCUGUGAGCUGACAGGUAUGGACAUGAUAUAUAUAUACUGUUUUACUACAACAUUAGCAGAACAGUUAGCGGUCAAGGUGGGUGAUUUUACAGCUCUUAGUUGUCUUAUUUUAUACUCCGUUGUGACUUGAGAAUUUUCUAUAGUUUGAGUAGCACCGAGAUGCAUGAUAUUUCUGAUUGCUUUCAGGUUUGUGAGCUGUUGUUUUUCAAAUCUUUGAUGUAAUUAAGGUAAUUAAGAAGCCCCCCCCCCACCACAUCCUAUCAUGCUCAGAGGUCACCUAUAACAACGUCACUGUUUUGGCCAUAACUACAGUAGAACUCACACAGCAUCAUCAAAUCUAACUAACGCCAGUCAGCAUACGUAACUGAUUUCUCUCAAUAAUUAUUAUCCGCGCGAUAUAUUCUCCAUGGUACAAGAGCCGUGUACCACACCACAAAGUGCUUUUUUACAGGUAAAUAUGUGCACAACCCUGACAAAGGCAGUGUGGUCAAGUUUGUAGUUCACUUCCACGUCAGCACUCUGGUUCCUGUUCUAUAUUCUACAGUAUAAGUGCGAAUCGUGGACACAAAUUGCUAACACAUUCCUCUCAGCUGUGCCCUUUGAUAUACAUCAGCUCUAAAUCUUAGCGUCUGUCCCUCUCCGGGCCGCCGUCAGGCCCGAAGUCGAUGAAUUAUUCCCUCUCGAGGCCCGGACCCAAAACAAAACAUCAAAAUACGGCGGGCGUGCAAAGGCAGCGCUCCCCAGCGCCGGCGAGCUGCCGAUAGCAUCCUAAACGCCCCGACGCAAGUGGCGUCCCAGAGAGGGGGAACGGGAAGCAGCUUCGGCCGAGUCCAGACCGGAUAUCGAUGUGGAGAUGAAGGUAAUAAAUGAGCCCACUGAUUUUAACGCAGGGGACGGGCGGAUGGGCGACGGAACUGGCCGCGAUAAGAGUAAAAACGCAGGUCCCUGGCAUAAUUACACACCGCCUGCAUGCACUUUCUGUCAAAACAAGGCAGUUUUUCAUCUAGCCGGAGAACAGCCAGCACUGUUCAACCAGAUAUAUAAUACCUGCAAAAAUAACAAGGCUAUGAUUUACUCAAAAAAAAAAAAAAAAAAAAUACUAAUGGGACUAAAAUGCUAUUUUUGCUCUAAAUAUGUGAAUUAAAAAAAUUGAAGCUACGACAAACAAGUCGCGGUGUUCUCUCCCGAGAUGUGGAUGUGCCGUAUUUCCCAUCAUCCCAUUGGAGCGUGCAGCCUUGGGCCGGCCACUCAGCCACGCCCUCGAUGUCUUUCCUGUUCCUACCUCAGUAUCACCUCAGGGUAGUCUGCGAUUUACGGGGUCUUCAGCAGAGACAUGAGAUGUUUUUAGCAUCGUCAAUCCCAAAUAGUAACCAGCCAAUCAGCCAAUCCGGACAGAUGGAUUUCACUCCAAACACCCAAACACCCCACAGGGUCGUCUGUUUUUUGUCCUUUGUGGGAUCCCAUCUCCAAGUCUCAUGCAAAGUUCUUAUGCUAAACAUGCACAGAUGUGAUUCCCCCCAAAACUCCAAAACAGCUAAAUGCUUGAAAACAGCCCUUAAUACCUCCCCUUCUGCAGUACAUGGCCAUUUCCACACACGUUAUUUAAUCACCUUUUCAAGCAAUAAUCAGACUAUUUUCAUUCUUUCCCUGGCUGGUCGGAUACCUACCUUGCAUUUAUCUACUCCUUUGCAAUACACACAAUAUCUGCAUUAUAUGUUUACAUUGCGCAAUAUGCUUACACUGCAUUGUGUUCAUGUAUUAAUCGUCAUAUCGAAACACCUUAAUUUGUAUGUUUGUGUUUACUGCUUUCCGGGAAGAUAUGCAGAGUGAGAUUUUCAUUAUAUUGUGUAAUCGACUGUUUACUGUGCAUAUGACAAUAAACUCGCAGAUCUUGAAUCUAAGUAAAUUUAGUUUCUCCUCUCCCAAUAAAUGGCUGCGGAAUAAAGAUGGAUGAAUAUUUUUUCCCUCAGAAAAAUGUGUGUUGCUUAUAAUGUGUGAUUAAGUGCUUGAGAGAAUGUGAUAUAUUAGGUAACAUUUGAUUUAUUGAUUGAUACAGGCCUUAUCUCCGUGGAAAUGCACAGAGCCGGCUCGAUAGCGAAUGAGGCCGAGUGUGCUGCACACGGAAUAAUGUGACGCGAGCGAGACGGUCGAGUCUGAGACGGCAGAGUGAAUCGGUUUCUGGCACUUUCCAUUCGCAGGAGGGAAGCUCAAACUUGAGUUUCCCAUCCCGGAAGAAAAGUUUACGGCGACUUCGGGAGACGUUUAUAUCAGAGCACAUACCUUGAAACAUCGGCUCCCAGCCAUUAUCUCUCUUACCCUGAAGUAUUUAUUCAGACAUGCAGCUUAUUUCAGCUUAUCAGACAGCGGACCUUCAGUCAGGUAUGCUCCAGAAUGGAAGCUUACGCCUAGCACGCUUACAGAUAACAGAAGCCCCAAAGUUAUGGAGCAGAACUGCUGCAGUUCAGUUCCAGUUCUUAUCAAAUUUCUUUCCACGCUUUUAAUUAAUUUUUAAAUAAAUGUCACCUCUUCUUUCCAAAACCUACCACAUGAAAUAUGGAGCAGAUUGAAGGAUGUCUUCCCAACUCCUGGAGUUCCACAACUUUGCAAAUCCCGAGACCACCCCUUAGAAAUUGUCUUUCUUUGGUGUUUGAUUCAAAGUCCUUGAUGCUUCAGUGUCUUUCUUUGCCUUUGGAGGUGAGUGACACGCUCGAGGUGGGGGUGGCAGUGCUGGUGAUCCCCCCCCAAAGGGGCAGAUGGCUGUAGAAACACAAGCCUCUGUGUGUCAGACACCCUUGUCAUCCUGUGUGAUCUAAGCCAUGUUUGAACCUCCUAAUGAUGCCUCCUGAAGCCAUCACUCGUCGAGACGCCCGUCUCAGCCUGGGACUGGGUGGCUGCUUCACUCCUCGUCUAUGUUGACGACAUCAUGAGGACGUUCUACCAGGAUGCCACCGAGGACCCCCUGGCGACAGGGACCACCUUAGCGGCCCUGUGCUCCUCACACUUGCUCACAGUUUGAUUCCACCCCUCCCAUCCCCAGCCCAGUCCAUGAAACUCCUACUGGGGCUAGCUUCUAGAACAUUCUGCCACUGGUUUCUGUUCCCAGUGCCAUUACCUUCAGAUAGAAAAUCUCGCACACAUUCCCCAAUUUGAAUGGCUACCUUUUUUGUGGAACAACUCAAGCUAAGCCCCAACUCUUAGGAGGUACAACUGGAGGGUCUUCCUGGGAUGGAAAUUGGACCCUUCAGGGAAUAAGCCCCUGUCCUUGACUCACCUACUUCCUGUGCAGGUGUCAUGAUUGACCUUUGACCUGACAUAAUCAUCUCUUUGCCGUUAACACAUAUCGUUUGGGUCCUGGUUUCAGCAACCAUGACUCAUGGUUUUAAUCAGCAUACGUAAUUGCAUUCAAUUUAAACCCAAAUUGCAAUUUUUAUUCACGCCGUACGCCACGCUUUAUUAAUGAAGUGAUUUCGGCUGGGACGUGCUUGAGGGCAGCUUUGGGGGGGUGUCAUUCCCGAUGUUUCUCACAGGGCAUUCCGCCGCGCAUUCCUCCCAUUCUGAUGACUCGGGGACCAGGGGGGUGGGGGGUUUCCCUUUCGUGGAUGCUCGUCUCUUUGUGUCACAACUGGGGCGUGACCAUUAGGCCAACAAACUGUGUCAUGUGACGUUUACAUAUGAGGGCUGGGACGCCAGCUGACGCUGAGGGAGAGAGAGAGUGAGAAAGAGAUUGUAUAUGGAUUUAUGCCUAAGUUUGUGUGCUUUUGUGGGACUGUGUAUAUCCAAGUGUGUGCGUAUGUAUGUGUAUGUGUGUGUACCUGAGACAUCGUUUAUCCCAUUUCUUAACCGAAUUAUGUAAGCAAUAUAAGAGAUUUACUCCAAGCUGAGGUUUGGUCGUUAAUGGGAUCAAAAUGAAAUCACUCCCUCUGUCAUCCUCUCACCUGUUAAGAGAGAGAGUGACUUUAUUCCGAUGGCUAUAAAGGCUGGAGGAUUUUAUUAAAGCCCAGCUUCCUGCCGUUCGAACGUGGCUGUCAGGGGGCGGCAAGCCAUUCACGUCAUGGCGGGGACGCUAAGCGCCUAGGAAACGGAAUCUUCUCACUCACACUUACGUGCGAGGAAAGUCACGCGCGUAAAGUACGCAAUAAAGAAAGGUAAUUUGUUUUCGAUAGUUGUGAAGUGGCACAAUCUCAAGAGUGUGAGAAAGUUCAGCUGUCAUUUUUUUUAAGAUGCAAAAUUUAUUUAAGAAAUGUAGCGUUAACCGCAGCCACCUUGCGGCUGCUGUCACGGGAAGAUCUACAAUCACCAGCGGAUCAUGUGCGCGUCCUGAAAAGCGGCCCUCUACCUCUACUCAAUGUCCGGCACACCCAAAUUAGUGCAGCUGUCAAACCCCAAGCGCCAGCCAGGUGCGGCUGUUGCAUAACUUGGAUCUUUCUAGAAGAACGCCUCUGGUUCCCUUUCCCGAGAGCGGCGUCACUCUCGAUAUGCUAUUUAUGAGUGCUCUAAUAAACCGCUAUCUUUCAAUACUUCCGUCACUAAAUAUUAACUGUCUCUUUGUAUAUUCCUGGAGCUCCAAUUAUGGGUUAUGCUCCUCGAAAAGUCUGCUUCGAGGAAGAAAGGAAAGCGAAAAAAUAAUAUGAGGGCGGAAAAUCAUUACUGCUGAAUUGUUCUCAUAAAUCAGUACGGAUAAAGAAGAAAUGGGAAGGCGAUGGGUGCUGGUGUCCGGGCUGACAUCAGUGCAGGGAUCACGUGGAGGAUUCGGAAACGUGCAUGAAAGUGCGGCCGAGGCCUUUAGCUGACGCUGGGGCCCGAGUGAAAUGGACUGUAAUCAGAACACAGCGAAAAGCGGAGCGGCAGGAAUGGAAGAGCAGGGUCAUCAGCAUGUUAUAUUUCAUUUAUUGAGCAGAUGCUUUUAUCCAAAGCGGUGGACAUUUUUGAGAAAACAGGGUCAGUCAGUCCCUGGAGCAAUUAGGGGUUAUGGGCCUCACUCGAGGGCCCAAUGCUGACAUCACUCUGCCCACUACAGGAUUCAAACCAAUGAUCUUCCGAUCAGCGGCACAGCUUCCUAACCCACUGAAGCAUAUUAACUUCGGUCUGUGGCGUGUUUCCUGGAUGCCGCCCAGCACCUUCUCCUGCUGCGAUGCCCCGUCCGACAGAUGGAGAGCGUUUGAUCAGGCAUGAUGGGUGAGGGAUAGAGCUGCCCCGGGCCUGCCUGUCUGUCGCGUGAUUGGUCAGGCACUCUCCCCCUUUGAUUGUCCAGCCCACUAUAUUCAUUGCAGUCCUUUAUGUAUUUACUUAUUGUUCAUAUACACAUUGCACUACGUGUAUAAUCCCUUGUGUCCAGCACUCCUGCUUCUCACUGUCCUGUCAUUUGCACUGUAAGUCCUGUGAAAGCCAAUCCCUGUCUCUCGCUGUCUGUACGCUGCACCGUGGUCCUGGGGGGACGUUAUUUCAGGUCACUGUGUACCUGUAUAUGGAUGGUGUGGCAAUGAAGCCCAUUUGGCUAGACUUGACUUUAAGCUGUCAGUCACGGGGGGUGUGAGCCUGGGGGGGUCGUGUCGCUACGGAGGCAGGUCUGAAGAAGGUGGGUCAGUUUAGUAUUGGUGCACAGGUCCCUGCGUAAACUCUGCCACAACAAAUGAUGGUGAUAUCACAUGCACAAUACGUGCACAGGUAGAGACACACCUGUUCUAUAACUGCUGCCAGGUAUUAUUUCAUCUUAGUGGCUUGAGUAGCCAAUCGCUGUGGAUUACCCAACAUGCCACCUGUGCGCUUGUACCUUCUGGGCCUCUGCCUCCCAUGAUUAGACAGCUUGAUUACUAACCACGCGUCUUUGUUCGCUGUGCUACAUGUUCUUGGGCUGUAAAGCUGCCCGCGGAUACGAGGAAUGCCGCAGGUGGUGAUGAUGGGGGUGUCGGCUACUCAACCAUCAGCCAUUAUGCAAAUGAGCGUUAAUGGGGAAGGGCACGGUGUGGCAUAAUUACCCCAGAGCCAUUAUAAUUGCAGCCCCUGGGGCAGUUAAUAUCUGUUCUCUGUACUUGUGACUGCUACUCCAGGGGGCAGUUAAUAUGGAGGAGAUGCCAAGUCAAACAAAACCUAUUCAUGUCCGGGCAGAAAAAAGGCUGGGGUUUGUAAUAAAACUGGUUUUGUCACA